rnacentral:rRNA from 1 species
UACGUAGGGGGCAAGCGUUGUCCGGAAUCAUUGGGCGUAAAGCGCGUGUAGGCGGCCCGAUAAGUCUGCCGUGAAAGUCCAGGGCUCAACCCUGGAAUGCCGGUGGAAACUGUCGGGCUGGAGUCCGGAAGAGGCGAGUGGAAUUCCUGGUGUGAGCGGUGAAAUGCGCAGAUAUCAGGAGGAACACCAAUGGCGAAGGCAGCUCGCUGGGACGGUACUGACGCUGAGACGCGAAAGCGUGGGGAGCAAACAGG